rnacentral:rRNA from 1 species
UGUGCCGGAGUAAACACAAUAAGCAUUCCGCCUGGGGAGUACGGCCGCAAGGUUGAAACUCAAAGGAAUUGACGGGGGCCCGCACAGGCAGCGGAGCAUGUGGUUUAAUUCGAAGCAACGCGAAGAACCUUACCAGGUCUUGACAUCCAGUAAAAACUGUAGAGAUACAGUGUGCCUUCGGGCAUACUGAGACAGGUGGUGCAUGGUUGUCGUCAGCUCGUGUCGUGAGAUGUUGGGUUAAGUCCCGCAACGAGCGCAACCCUUGUGAUCAGUUACUAACGCGUAAAGGCGAGGACUCUGAUAAGACUGCCGGGGACAACUCGGAGGAAGGUGGGGAUGACGUCAAAUCAGCACGGCCCUUAUGUCCAGGGCUACACACGUGUUACAAUGGCCGGUACAGAGGGCAGCUACCUGGAGACAGGAUGCGAAUCUCGAAAGCCGGUCUCAGUUCGGAUCGGAGUCUGCAACUCGACUCCGUGAAGCUGGAUUCGCUAGUAAUCGCGCAUCAGCCAUGGCGCGGUGAAUACGUUCCCGGGCCUUGUACACACCGCCCGUCAAGCCAUGGAAGUUGGGGGUUCCUGAAGUCCGUAACCGCAAGGAGCGGCCUAGGGUAAAACCAG